CGCCAGGAGGAGCGCGCGGGCACAGGGUGCCGCUGACCGAGGCGUGCGAGGACUCCAGAAUUGGAGGCAUGAUGAAGACUCUGCUGCUGUUUGUGGGGCUGCUGCUGACCUGGGAGAGUGGGCAGGUCCUGGGGGACCAGACGGUCUCAGACAAUGAGCUCCAGGAAAUGUCCGAUCAGGGAAGUAAGUACGUCAAUAAGGAAAUUCAAAAUGCUGUCAACGGGGUGAAACAGAUAAAGACUCUCAUAGAAAAAACAAACGAAGAGCGCAAGACACUGCUCAGCAACCUAGAGGAAGCCAAGAAGAAGAAAGAGGAUGCCCUAAAUGAGACCAGGGAAUCAGAGACAAAGCUGAAGGAGUUCCCAGGAGUGUGCAAUGAGACCAUGAUGGCCCUCUGGGAAGAGUGUAAGCCCUGCCUGAAACAGACCUGCAUGAAGUUCUACGCACGCGUCUGCAGAAGUGGCUCGGGCCUGGUUGGCCGCCAGCUCGAGGAGUUCCUGAACCAGAGCUCACCCUUCUACUUCUGGAUGAAUGGUGACCGCAUCGACUCCCUGCUGGAGAACGACCGGCAGCAGACGCACAUGCUGGAUGUCAUGCAGGACCACUUCAGCCGCGCGUCCAGCAUCAUGGACGAGCUCUUCCAGGACAGGUUCUUCGCCCAGGAGCCCCAGGACACCUACCACUACCUGCCCUUCAGCCUGCCCCACCGGAGGCCUCACUUCUUCUUUCCCAAGUCCCGCAUCAUCCGCAGCUUGAUGCCCUUCUCUCCGUAUGAGCCCCUGAACUUCCACGCCAUGUUCCAGCCCUUCCUUGAGAUGAUACACGAGGCUCAGCAGGCCAUGGACGUCCACUUCCACAGCCCGGCCUUCCAGCUCCCGCCCACAGAAUUCAUACGAGAAGGCGACGAUGACCGGACUGUGUGCCGGGAGAUCCGCCACAACUCCACGGGCUGCCUGCGGAUGAAGGACCAGUGUGACAAGUGCCGGGAGAUCUUGUCUGUGGACUGUUCGGCCAACAACCCCUCCCAGGCUCAGCUGCGGCGGGAGCUCAAUGAAUCCCUCCAGGUCGCUGAGAGGUUGACCAGGAAGUACAACGAGCUGCUGAAGUCCUACCAGUGGAAGAUGCUCAACACCUCCUCCUUGCUGGAGCAGCUGAAUGAGCAGUUUAACUGGGUGUCCCGGCUGGCAAACGUCACCCAAGGCAAAGACCAGUACUAUCUGCGGGUCACCACGGUGAGCUGUGUCCCGGCCACAUGCUGUGGCUCGGGAGCCCAAGCUGUGAUCGGGAGCAGGGGCACAUGUGCUUUUGACUGAGCGUUUAUCACAUGGCAGAAAAUAGAAAACUUUAGGUGCCCUUGUUGCCUUGAAGCCUCAUCACCCACUCAGGGAAAACAUAACCCUGUUUUACAAAGGAGCAAAGUAAGAGAGGUUCCAUAGCUUGGCCAAGGUGUGAUAGCUGACAGAUGAUUUGGAUGGGUAUUUUAACCUGACUGCCUGGCUGCCAAGCCUGUAUUUUGUUGUUGUUGUUGUUGUUUUUGUUUUGGUGCACAAAUCUGUGAAUAAACCAGAAGCCUCUGUUCUUUUCUCAAAGCUACAAGGCUGCCCUCUGGCAUGUAAAAUGGCUUAUGAAUUAGUACAUCAUUCUCUGCCAGUGAUAAAAACUCUCUAGGCCAGACAUGGUGGCUCAUGCCUGUAAUCCCAGCACUUUGGGAGGCAGAGGCAAAAGGAUUGCUUGAGGCCAGGAAUUUGAGACCAGCCUGGGCAAUACAGCAAGAUUCCCUCUCUACAAAAAAUACAAAAAUCAGCCAGGUGCGGUGGCACACACUUGUAGUCCCAGCUAUUCAGGAGGCUGAGGUGGGAGGAUUGCCUGAGCCCUGAGGUGGAGGCUGCAAUGAGCUGUGAUCAUGCCACUGCACUCCAGCCUGGGUGACAGAGUGAGACUCUGUCUCUUAAAAUAUAUAUAUAUAUAAAAUAAUAAAAUAAAAUAAACAAAUCAAAUAAAACUUAUUUCUAGUGCUGGGAAACCUUCUUUUUUCUUUUCUUUCUGACCUCCAGGCCCCCUGGAUUCCUUUUCUACCCUAGUCUGACCAAUGGCUGCCUAAAGCAAAUGUUUGGAAACCACUUUUAUUCUUUGGGGUGCUCCCUGGGCUGGCCAUUUGCAGAUGGCAUUUGCCCCAACACAUGAGUGUCUGUGAACCACUUCACUUCUGUCCGCUGAGCUGUACUGAUGUCUAGAUGUGUAAGAAGCAUGGGGUCAGCUCUCUAGAUUUUCUUGGAGGAGGAGGAGGACUUCCUUAUCAGAAGCCUGACUUCUGUUGCAGAACGCAUGCAUUUUGACCACAGUGUUUCAGCUCUUCUUUUUUCUUUUGUUCCAUUUAGGUGGCUUCCCACACUUCUGACUCGGACGUUCCUUCAGGUGUCACUGAGGUGGUCGUGAAGCUCUUUGACUCUGAUCCCAUCACUGUGACGGUCCCUGUAGAAGUCUCCAGGAAGAACCCUAAAUUUAUGGAGACCGUGGCGGAGAAAGCGUUGCAGGAAUACCGCAAAAAGCACCGGGAGGAGUGAGAUGUGAAUGUUGCUUUUGCACCUACGGGGGCAUCUGAGUCCAGCUCCCCGCAAGAUGAGCUGCAGCCCCCCAGAGAGAGCUCUGCACGUCACCAAGUAACCAGGCCCCAGCCUCCAGGCCCCCAACUCCGCCCAGCCUCUCCCUGCUCUGGAUCCUGCACUCUAACACUCGACUCUGCUGCUCAUGGGAAGAACAGAAUUGCUCCUGCAUGCAACUAAUUCAAUAAAACUGUCUUGUGAGCUGA
rnacentral:sRNA from 1 species